CUGGUAGGUGGCGAAUGCUGUGUUUGUGCAGAUCAAGACUGCUGCUUUGCCUACACCAGUGUUGUCUAGCCAUUGGCAGCUGGACGAACUACGGGGAGUAGUCGCCAAAGUUUGAUUGUGUCCAUGCACACAGAGGUCAUUGGGGUCUAGUAAGACCCAUAGGCUGACAUAUUUGUCAGUCUAAACACUGUCGGGUCACAUCUGCUGAUUUAUACAUUAUGAUUUCAGGUCAAAUAAGUGUUUACCCUACUGUCUGUAAGUCUCAAUUGACACAUGGCAAAUUUUGCACCUCCUGAGAAAAUUCUAAAAGUAUGCCCACACACAAUGUCUAUUAAUGUGAAUAUUCUGCAUUGAAUAUAUGCAGAUAAAUGAAUAGAUGAAA